GACGAACGCUGACGGCGUGGAUUAGGCAUGCAAGUCGAACGGUAUCAUCCUUUCGGGGGUGAGAGAGUGGCGAACUGGUGAGUAACACGUAGGUUAUCUACCCUCAAGACGGGGACAACCCAGGGAAACUUGGGCUAAUACCGGAUGUGAGCAACUUUUAGUUGUUUGAAAGGUGGCGUAAGCUGUCGCUUGGGGAUGAGCCUGCGUCCUAUUAGUUAGUUGGUGAGGUAACGGCUCACCUAGGCAAUGAUAGGUAGGCGGCCUUAACGGGUGGUCGCCCACACUGGGAUUGAGAUACGGCCCAGACUCCUACGGGAGGCAGCAGUCGAGAAUAGUCUACAAUGGUCGGAAGACUGAUAGUGCGACGCCGCGUGAACGAUGAAUCCCUUCGGGGUGUAAAGUUCUUUUAUAUGUGAGCAGUGCUUCUUAUAUUAACAGUAUGGGGAGAGAGAUAUUAGCAUAUGAAUAAGCAACGGCUAACUCCGUGCCAGCAGCCGCGGUAAACUCGU
rnacentral:rRNA from 1 species